rnacentral:rRNA from 1 species
AGAGUUUGAUCAUGGCUCAGAAUCAACGCUGGCGGCGUGCCUAACACAUGCAAGUCGAACGCGGUUAUUCAGCAAUGGAUAACUGAGUGGCGAACGGGUGAGUAACACGUGGGUGACCUACCUUCGAGUGGGGGAUAACGUCCCGAAAGGGACGCUAAUACCGCAUAACAUCCUGCCUUUGAACAGGCGGUGAUCAAAGCCGGGGACCGUAAGGCCCGGCGCUUGAUGAGGGGCCCGCGUCUGAUUAGCUAGUUGGUGAGGUAACGGCCCACCAAGGCGACGAUCAGUAUCCGGCCUGAGAGGGCGGACGGACACACUGGGACUGAGACACGGCCCAGACUCCUACGGGAGGCAGCAGUGGGGAAUUGUUCACAAUGGGCGCAAGCCUGAUGACGCAACGCCGCGUGGAGGAUGAAGGUCUUCGGAUUGUAAACUCCUGUUGCCCGGGACGAAAAGCUCUGACCUAACACGUCGGAGUCUGACGGUACCGGGUGAGGAAGCCCCGGCUAACUCUGUGCCAGCAGCGGCGGUAAUAC